GUCAGCUCGGAUCAAGGCGCGCCUGAUCUUCCUCUCCUGCCUCCGACUCGAGUGGCAUCCUCGAGGCCAUCUGCCGCGUCCUUGAGCUCGAGGCGUGGGGUUGGUGGUCUGUUAGUCGGCGAGGGUUCUCAGCAUUAAUGGGCGCAAGGGUGCUCGGUCUGGGUGCGGCCCCGGCGUACAACUGUUCCUCGGCGUACAAUUGCAGUCCAAUAUUCAUGAAGCCUUCGGGUACGCCGCAAAACAUCAGAGUACACAGGCACUGUUCUCUGCUGGAUAGGAGAGUUGAGGGGGCCAAUCAAGUGCCUCGAAGAUCCAUCGACAAGGCUGCUCCUAAAGUCCAUGAAGGGAAGGAUGAGGUCAAUGAACAAGAUAGGCAGAUGGACACCAUGUCAUCUCAUGUAUCCCCAGCUCGUGAUUUGGAUUUUGAGUUUGAUGUUGCCUUUGAGGGUAGAAAUCGUAGUGUACAUUCGGUGAAGCCUUCUGCUAUGCCGCGGAACAUCAGGGUACAGAUGCCCAAGCAUCCUUCUCUACUGGAUAGGAGAGUUGAGGGGACCAAUCAAGUGCCUCGAAGAUCCAUCGACAAGGCUGCUCCUAAAGUCAAUGAAGGGAAGGAUGAGGUCAAUGAACAAGAUAGGCAGAUGGACACCAUGUAAUCUCCUGUAUCCUCAGCUAGUGAUUUGGAUUUCGAGUUUGAUGUUGCCUUUGAUGGUAGAAAUCAUAGUUCACAUUCGGUGAAGCCUUCUGCUAUGCCGCGGAACAUUAGGGUACAGAUGCCCAGGCAUCCUUCUCUACUGGAUAGGAGAGGAUAAAUUUACCUUUUAUGUGCCAAGCUUGUUCCUCAGAUAAUUACCAUCAACAUGUGAGUGCAUUCAAUGUUAUCAACGAACGGAGAUUGCCCAAGGGUUGCGUUUUGACCACCAAAUGUGUUAGGCAAUCCUCUUCCACCGCAUCAAACAGUAGCAAGUCUGCUCCAGGGCCCUUGGGUAAAGUGAAAGACAAAGUGGCCAUCCGUUCAGCUUCAGCUCACACAUCAGGUGGCACUGUGGGCGCCAAGAAGAAAGAAGCUUAUAUUACCACUUUGAGCGCCGGAGGUGGGUACGGGGACCCUCACCAUCCACCCUUCUACAAGUGCGAGGUGUGCUGCAAGGGGUCGGCCUUCUACAGGCUCAAGUGCUGCCGUCUGGUGGUAGGUGAGUGCUGUGGCUGCACUUGUGAACCAGCUGAAGCUGAGGAAGACGAGAAGCUGCUGCAGUCCCGGAGAGGCAAAGUGCAGGCUGGCAAAGAGAAACUGCCCAAAGUGAAGCUUGAAGGUUCAGAUCUUUUCCUAUGGCAGCCGUGCUCCUUCCCUGCUGGACUAAUGUUAUGCAUGGUGAAACGGACUGGGAAUCACCUGCAGUACUACUUUGCACCGGUUGACGAGCUUAUGAACCCAAAAGUCAGAGUGGUAAGGACAACAGUCUACAACUUCCGUCAACAUGGACGGAACGCUAAAUCUCUGUCAGUAAGAGAUGAGCUCCUUACGCGCAAGCAGUUGCGCUAGCAAACAUGUAUCUCCUCCUUUCUGUACAUGCAUUGUAUGGUACAGACUUCAACAGAAUGUUAGAACUCAGAAAGUGCAGCUAGUGCCCAGGUCAACUAUCUGCAGAUAGAAUAGCAGGUGCUCUUGUUUUCAUCAGGCUCUUAGGUUUCUGUAAAUCUAUAAUCUCAGCGAUCUGUAAGGAUGCUUGUAUACACAAACCUUUGGCUUUCAAUAUAAGCCGUGUAGAGUUUGGUUGACAAGCUCAUGGUUGAUUAAUUGCUUUUUUAGUUGAGGGACAUACAAAUUUAGACAUUGUCAUCUCAAAGAA